rnacentral:tmRNA from 1 species
GGGGCCGAUAUGGAUUCGACCGAACAUGUGACGCUGAACGUCGCGUGCCGUGGAGCAUGAAGGCCACGUAAAAAUCAUGCACAAAAAUAGUUGCCAAUAACAACUACGCUCUCGCUGCCUAAUUUUUAGGUAGCCCGUCCUGCGCAGCUCGGCCCGUGGCCGCGUGGUGACGAAGACAACGGGCUGGCGCUCAGAGGGUUCUCCCGAGUAUGAGCGCGAGGAGUCAUCGGGCGAUAGGAAGCGUCAAGCCUGCCGAGGGCGUGCCGCAACCGAACGCAAAUCAUCGUGCUACGCAUGUAGAAGCGUUCAGCAGACUGUUCGACACGGGGGUUCGAUUCCCCCCGGCUCCAUUU